rnacentral:rRNA from 1 species
CCUACGGGUGGCUGCAGUGAGGAAUAUUGCGCAAUGGACGGAAGUCUGACGCAGCAAUGCCGCGUGCGGGAUGAAGGUGCUAUGCAUCGUAAACCGCUGUAGCGUGGGGCAAAGAGCGCCUUAGGGGCGUUGGAUGGUACCACGAAAGUAAGCAUCGGCUAACUACGUGCCAGCAGCCGCGGUAAUACGUAGGAUGCGAGCGUUGUCCGGAUUUACUGGGUGUAAAGGGUGCGCAGGCGGGACGGUAAGUCAGAGGUGAAAGCCCGGAGCUCAAC